rnacentral:rRNA from 1 species
AUUGAACGCUGGCGGCAGGCCUAACACAUGCAAGUCGAGCGGAUGAAGGGAGCUUGCUCCUGGAUUCAGCGGCGGACGGGUGAGUAAUGCCUAGGAAUCUGCCUGGUAGUGGGGGAUAACGUCCGGAAACGGGCGCUAAUACCGCAUACGUCCUGAGGGAGAAAGUGGGGGAUCUUCGGACCUCACGCUAUCAGAUGAGCCUAGGUCGGAUUAGCUAGUUGGUGGGGUAAAGGCCUACCAAGGCGACGAUCCGUAACUGGUCUGAGAGGAUGAUCAGUCAACCUGGAAUUGGGAAACGGUCCAGACCCCCACGGGAGGCAGCAGGGGGGAAUUUUGGAAAAGGGGCGAAAGCCUGAUCCAGCCAUGCCGGGGUGGUGAAGAAGGUCUUCGGAUUGUAAAGCCAUUUAAGUUGGGAGGAAGGGAAGUAAGUUAAUACCUUGCUGUUUUGGCUUUACCAACAGAAUAAGCCCCGGCUAACUGCGU